rnacentral:rRNA from 1 species
CACGUAGGGGGCGAGCGUUGUCCGGAUUUACUGGGCGUAAAGGGAGCGUAGGCGGACUUUUAAGUGAGAUGUGAAAUACCCGGGCUCAACUUGGGUGCUGCAUUUCAAACUGGAAGUCUAGAGUGCAGGAGAGGAGAAUGGAAUUCCUAGUGUAGCGGUGAAAUGCGUAGAGAUUAGGAAGAACACCAGUGGCGAAGGCGAUUCUCUGGACUGUAACUGACGCUGAGGCUCGAAAGCGUGGGGAGCAAACAGGAUUAGAUACCCCGGUAGU